UUGGAUUAAGAUACAAGUUACGUUUACAAAACUUGACGUAACUACACUAAUAAUCCAUAAAACAAAUGCCCUUCUGAAGACUUUCUUUUCUUAAGACUAAAAAGUAAGACAGAUACGAGGACUACAUAU